ensembl:lncRNA
AGCAAGGCUGAGAGCGUGGUGUCAAUCACCAGCCAUUGUAGCUAUAGCAGCACCAUCGUCCAUAGAUUGCUGAGAGUCCCGCCCCUCCACCGCUGCUAGUCAGUGUGGUAUCCCCGCCCACCCAGGAGAAGGAGGCCUUUAAAAGGCUGAGGCUGACCAAGCAGGUGUUGUCAGUGCACACACCAGGAGGAGGAAGCCUUUCUUACCCGCUGUAAGGAACUCCGCAACUCCAGAAACUUCCAGAAAGACUGCUCCACAUACCGGCACAGACCGAGAGGUCUGACCAACACCCAGGAAGCCACAGGUAGUGGGGACGUUGCUAAACAGAGCACGGGCAGGCACCGGGGCCUCCCCCGCUACAGCCAAGAUGGGCAGUCAUCAAGAAAUCCAAGAAGCCCCGUGUGAAGUGUCCUGACUCCACUGUAAACCACCGCCAUCCCCUGCAGGGUCUGAAACGGACGCCCUGGUCCCCAUUUGAAGUCUCCCAGUUCCAGGUCUUCUCUGUGCCCUACCCUGCCAUGGUGCCAGGCUACCCCUGUCAGGCUACCCUGCUGCCCCUACCACCCCUGCCCAGAUCACUCGCCCUGACCCCACUGUCUCCAUUUGCUUUGGGGAGGGCCAGAGCAGCCAGGCUCCACCCACUGCUACACCAUACCCUGACCCUAUCUUCACCCUCCUGGUCACCCCCCUAUCGUC